GCUACCACUUGCCGGAGGAGGGCUCGGUGCUGCUCGCAGGGACGAGCAGCUGCUCAGCCCUGUACCUGGAGCUGCUCCCUGAGCUGCACCAGUGUAUCUCUGAUCCCAGAAAGUUGGGGUGACACCCCCCUAUAAAGCUGAUCACAGGUUUGGCUGAAGAUUUAUUGCCAGCGGGAAGAAAGUAAGCAACCCAAAAUGCAACCAAGCCCAUCUCUAAUGCACCCAGAGGGGUCUGGGUGUGCAGCAGGGGAACAGAUGCAAACAGGCUCUGUGCUGGGGUGCGUUUUUGGCUGCACACCCCAAAACCAGCACAGAGGCUCCCUGUCUCCAGUCCCACAAAUUCUUUAGGUGGUGCCGUUAAUAUCCGGUGUACUGAAUAGUACUGCAGAUUAUUUGCACUGCUGCAUGUCAUAACACUGACUUUCCUCAGAAAAUGGCCAAUUUCUUCCUAUUUAUCCCCUACCCCAAUUUUGCCCUGCAGACAAAAGCACAGGCACAUGGCUGCUGGAGUCUGUCCGGGAGGACAGGGGAGGGAGGAUAGGAGGAGCACUGUGUGCUCAAACACAGCCUGUACACAUUUUCUACCACUCUUAUUUCCCCAACUAUCUCUAUAAUUUUAAACAAAAUGGGUCACAGGGAAUCUCCACUCUUGGUCUAAAGUGGGUCAGGCUCAAUUACCACCAGUCAUUUUCUUGGAGAGGAGAAGAAAGAGAAACCUGCCCCAGUUCCCCUGCACCCCUCAUUCCCCCCUCCCUGGGAGAAGACCCCAUUCCCCCCACACCGCUGCUGCGGGUCCUGAUAACAGCCGAUGCCUUUCCCUCUGAUGCCGACGAGCAAUCGUCUGGGGAAAACCAGAGUCAUAAAACCCAUCCCUCACCCUUAAUUGAAGGUCCCCCAGCAUGAGCUGCCGCCUGCUGCCCGUUGAGGAUCCAUCCAACGCUUUGGAGCCAACAGCUGCGGCUGUGCCAGGAGCAGAGGCUCUGCUGUAACAGGGCAGAGGGCGAGGACCAGGGGUUCGAUGUGCUCAUGCGCUGCCCAUGCCCUGCCUGGCACCCUGGGGAGAUGCUCUUAGCAGAUGAACCAAGUGUAAACUAAAUGCUGACAUGAAGGAGCAACAGGGAAGAAGUUUUGCACCCAGACAAGGUUUAGCAGUGGCCGAGCAGUUCCCACCAACUCUCUGCUGCAGGAGACAAGGCUUUGUGCAUGGAAUGAUUCUGCAGUGGUGCCUUCAGGUGCCCAAGCAGCUUCAGAGCGAGUCUGCAAUUAGUGCUGGAACAACUAGCACUGGGAUUAUUUUGCAAUUAGUGUUGGAACAACCAGCACUGGGAUUUUUCCCUUGCAAAAGCACCAGGUGACUUCUGCAAGCAGGCAGCUGAGAAGAGCUUUUAGGUUAAGCCCUGUGCCUUGGGAGCACAAUUGAGAAAAUAAUUUCUUCCUAACUAAGGGCUUGCUCAGAGCCCCCCACAGAAUUCCUACUGCCAUCAGGGUUUGUUCUGGGGGCACAGAACAGACCCGAGUCUCACAGCUCUGGCCACCCAGUGCAAACCCACACAGAGCACCUAGAUCCUCCCAAAUUCCCCCUAAGAAAUAAAUAGUCCUGCUCAUUUUCCAAAGUUUGCUUUGAUAAAGGAGGAGGUCACUGAGGAACACCAGCACCUUGAGGUAGUCACCAAGCAGCCCUCACGCAGCUGUUCUCAUUACCUGUGUGAUGGAACAGGGAAGGGAGCCCCUUGCAACACCCAGUUCCAUCAGCUGGCAGGACACAAACACACCACAGCAUUAUUUAUCAGCAAACACAGGCACAUCUCUCCUUGUAGAUCAGCCUUAUGGGCUUUUCUAAGCAGAAACCCCCCAAGGAAGGGAACAGAGCAAAGGAGAGGGGACACCCAUGCCCCCCCACAAUGGGGAGGAACCAGCAAGGCAAGGGGAGCAGCAAUGCCACCUCUCCAGCUGCAAAGGCAAAGAGCAACUGAUGCCCCUCAGCACUUGCAGCAUCCCUGCCAGCCAUCACCUAAACUCACCAGAAAGGUUACUGAACCCUAAAGAAAUAGUUAUCUCCCUGCAGCUUUGGAAGCAGGUAAUUUAUGCUUAAUAGCAAGCUGUUACAAAAAUCUGCUAGCGGCCAUCCACUCUGAUACAGCUCUCCCCAGGCUCAGACAGCUAUAGCUUAGCAGCAACCUACUCAAAGCAUUUCUAAGGGAUGCAAUGUACAUCUAAGAUGAAAUGCAAGAAAUAUGCUGGCCUAACAGCUCCAGCAGCAGCUAUAAGCAAAAAAGGAACAACCAAGUAGCUCAGCCCCUUCACCUCCCUUCAGCAAACACAUACAACCCAAGCAGACAGGUUACAUAGCCUACAAGGUACAUGACCUGCUGCUCUAA